rnacentral:rRNA from 1 species
ACGCUCGACACCUACGGGGAGGCAGCAGUGGGGAAUAUUGGGCAAUGGGCGCAAGCCUGACCCAGCAACGCCGCGUGAAGGAAGAAGGCUUUCGGGUUGUAAACUUCUUUUGUCAGGGAACAGUAGAUGAGGGUACCUGACGAAUAAGCUCCGGCUAACUACGUGCCAACAGCCGCGGUAAUCUGAGCGGGCUGGCAAGGC